AUUGAACGCUGGCGGCAGGCCUAACACAUGCAAGUCGAACGGUAACAGGAAGAAGCUUGCUUCUUUGCUGACGAGUGGCGGACGGGUGAGUAAUGUCUGGGAAACUGCCUGAUGGAGGGGGAUAACUACUGGAAACGGUGGCUAAUACCGCAUAACGUCGCAAGACCAAAGAGGGGGACCUUCGGGCCUCUUGCCAUCGGAUGUGCCCAGAUGGGAUUAGCUAGUAGGUGGGGUAACGGCUCACCUAGGCGACGAUCCCUAGCUGGUCUGAGAGGAUGACCAGCCACACUGGAACUGAGACACGGUCCAGACUCCUACGGGAGGCAGCAGGGGGGAAUAUUGCACAAUGGGCGCAAGCCUGAUGCAGCCAUGCCGCGUGUAUGAAGAAGGCCUGCGGGUUGUAAAGUACUUUCAGCGGGGAGGAAGGGAGUAAAGUUAAGACCUUUGCUCAUUGACGUUACCCGCAGAAGAAGCACCGGCGAACUCCGU
rnacentral:rRNA from 1 species